CCCUUAGAUGUUCUGGGCCGCACGCGUGCUACACUGAGUGGAUCAGCGGGUCAGGUUGCGCGAAAGCGUUUCCUAAUCUUUAAAUCCGCUCGUGAUGGGGAUUGACGGUUGCAAUUUUCUGUCAUGAACGAGGAAUACCUUGUAAGCGCGGGUCAUCAUCCCGCGCUGAAUACGUCCCUGCCCUUUGUACACACCGCCCGUCGCUCCUACCGAUUGAGUGGUCCGGUGAAUUAUUCGGACCGGUGGACUGUGGGGAAACCCGCGGCCUGCUGGGAAGUCUUGUGAACCUUAUCACUUAGAGGAAGCAGAAGUCGUAACA
rnacentral:rRNA from 1 species